GUCUGAGGGCCAAAAUGGCCGACAGAGUCGCGCAGUUUCUUUUCCCGCUCCAAACUGAAACCUAAUUGGUCGAAACCAUCCGAGUGACCCUCGCGCGAUUGGUGGAAGUGACUGUCAGGUCAAAGUCAAAAUGUGUCCAGAACCCGACCGUCUGCUGCUCCACAUCAGCUCGAGUGAGGAGGCGGAGCUACAACCGUUCCUGCUUUUACUGCACAACAAACUCUGAGCUUCUGUGUUUGAAAUGUUUGCAGGAAUAAUCAGUUUAACAGCGACUUACUCCUCCUACUAACUUUGGACUUCUGAUUUAGUUUAAAAUGAAUAAAAUUACAAAUGCAAGAAAAUAUGAACGAAAAACAUGAACAGAAAGACUAAUUUACAGUUUAAUAACAUCAUUUUAAAGCUAAAUUAUAUCCAAAAAUAAAUCUUCAGUCUUUGAAAACAGUAUUUAAGAUAAUAUUACCAGUUUUUAUUCUUUAAUAUUUAAUCAAUCCAGAUACAAAUAUGCAGAUUAAAAAUGUCAUUUGGGCCAAAAAUCUUUUGACCGUCAGACUUCUGAAGUAUAGAAAUCUCAUCCAGUCUGUAAACAAAAACCUGAAGGAUCAUAAACGCCUUCGCUAUUUAUAGAAAAAACCAUUGGAAAAGAGAAUUAAAUAAAAACACAGACGUUCAAUAAAAUAUGCAUUUAUUAAAGAUGAAAGUGGCAUUUUACUAAAAGGAUCCUGAACACCAGUUCUCCACCCAGAUUCAUGUUCACACGAAAACCAGAAAAUCAGCUUCAGCACAAAAACAUAAAUAUUUCACUGCAUAAACACACAAACGACUGCAAACGUUGGAUUGUGAGGAUUGUCGAGGACACGGCGUCACUCCCGCUUACAAAACUCUGCAAAAACGUAACAGAAUUUCACAGGGGGUCCAAACAAAUGUGCAAAUUUGAAACGUUUCUCUGCUUUUUAUAAAAAUUACAUUUACAAAGAAGGAAAACAAAGUAAGUCAGAUGGUAAUAGUGUAAUGUGGUAUAAAGAAAGUGGUUAAAAUGGCAAGAAAGCCUUUCAAAGGUGCAGAAAUCGUUCUGUCAGGAAGUGAAAGCUCUCAGAUAUGAACGUGUCGAAAUGGAAGUUUGGUUUCAAACAGCAAAGCAACAGAGGUGAGUGAAGGCCUUCAGGAGCAUUUUCACUUUAAAACACGUGUGUUCAGAACAAAUGUGCUCAUUUGCUUAAGCUAAAGCAAAAUAAAAAGAGAUGAAUAAAAUAAAAUAUAAAAAGGAGGGACUAAUAACAUAAAAAAA